rnacentral:rRNA from 1 species
CCUACGGGGGGCAGCAGUGAGGAAUAUUGGUCAAUGGCCGGGAGGCUGAACCAGCCAAGUCGCGUGAGGGAAGACGGCCCUACGGGUUGUAAACCUCUUUUGUCAGGGAGCAAGGUGCAGGUCGGGACCGGCUGUGAGAGUACCUGAAGAAAAAGCAGCGGCUAACUCCGUGCCAGCAGCCGCGGUAAUACGUAGGGGGCAAGCGUUAUCCGGAUUUACGGGGUGUAAAGGGAGCGUAGACGGCCAGACAAGUCAGAAGUGAAAGCCCAGGGCUCAACCCUGGGACUGCUUUUGAAACUGCCGUGCUGGAGUGCAGGUGAGGUAAGCGGACUUCCUCGUGUAGCGGU